rnacentral:rRNA from 1 species
GUGGGGAAUAUUGGACAAUGGGCGAAAGCCUGAUCCAGCAAUGCCGCGUGAGUGAUGAAGGCCUUAGGGUUGUAAAGCUCUUUUACCCGGGAAGAUAAUGACUGUACCGGGAGAAUAAGCCCCGGCUAACUCCGUGCCAGCAGCCGCGGUAAUACGGAGGGGGCUAGCGUUGUUCGGAAUUACUGGGCGUAAAGCGCACGUAGUCGGUUUUGUACGUUAGAGGUGAAGGCCUGGGGCUCAACCCCAGAAUUGCCUUUAAGACUGCAUCACUUGAACGUCGGAGAGGUGAGUGGAAUUCCGAGUGUAGAGGUGAAAUUCGGAGAUAUUCGGAAGAACACCAGUGGCGAAGGCGGCUCACUGGACGACUGUUGACGCUGAGGUGCGAAAGCGUGGGGAGCAAACAGGAUUAGAAACCCGAGUAGUCC